GAUGAAGAACGUAGCGAAAUGCGAUAAGUAAUGUGAAUUGCAGAAUUCAGUGAAUCAUCGAAUCUUUGAACGCACAUUGCGCCCGCCAGUAUUCUGGCGGGCAUGCCUGUCUGAGCGUCAUUUCAACCCUCAUGCCCCUAGGGCGUGGUGUUGGGGAUCGGCCAAAGCCCGCGAGGGACGGCCGGCCCCUAAAUCUAGUGGCGGACCCGUCGUGGCCUCCUCUGCGAAGUAGUGAUAUUCCGCAUCGGAGAGCGAUGAGCCCCUGCCGUUAAACCCCCAACUUUCCAAGGUUGACCUCAGAUCAGGUAGGAAUACCCGCUGAACUCAAGCAUAUCAAUAAGCGGAGGA
rnacentral:misc_RNA from 1 species